CAAUAAAGAAAGUAUAGUAAUGUGCACAGAAAUUGAAUUGGGUUUCUUGGCCUGAUUUCUCUUAUGCCAUUUGGUUUUGAUUUGGGGACAUGGUUCUGCAGCAAAACA